UGGAUCCUUAUGUUUGGGCAUACAAUCAUCAAGCAUGAUGCCUGCAAAAGCAUUUAGUUGCUUUUCAUGGUGCAUAUACUUUUGGUUCAGAAUUAUCACAAUUAUAAUGCUCAAGAAUGACAUUGAGCAACAGAAUGCAGAUUGAGAUGAUUAACCUUCUAGGCAGUAUUGAAUGAUACAAAAGCAGAUACAACACAGUCGAUUUGUCAAGGAAAGAAAAUAUAGGUUAGAGGAUGCAUGGAGAAGGAUAGCUAAAUACAAAAGAAAAUACAAUAUCCAUCUUAUACUAUGGAAGAAAGAAAAAUUAG
rnacentral:lncRNA from 1 species